AAAAUCCGUCUAUCCCUCUAUCCCCA
rnacentral:tRNA from 1 species